rnacentral:rRNA from 1 species
GAUGAACGCUGGCGGCGUGCCUAAUACAUGCAAGUCGAGCGAACAGAUGAGGAGCUUGCUCCUCUGACGUUAGCGGCGGACGGGUGCGUAACACGUGGAUAACCUACCUAUAAGACUGGGAUAACUUCGGGAAACCGGAGCUAAUACCGGAUAAUAUAUUGAACCGCAUGGUUCAAUAGUGAAAGACGGUUUUGCUGUCACUUAUAGAUGGAUCCGCGCCGCAUUAGCUAGUUGGUAGGGUAACGGCUUACCAAGGCAACGAUGCGUAGCCGACCUGAGAGGGUGAUCGGCCACACUGGAACUGAGACACGGUCCAGACUCCUACGGGAGGCAGCAGUAGGGAAUCUUCCGCAAUGGGCGAAAGCUUGACGGAGCAACGCCGCGUGAGUGAUGAAGGUCUUCGGAUCGUAAAACUCUGUUAUUAGGGAAGAACAAAUGUGUAAGUAACUAUGCACGUCUUGACGGUACCUAAUCAGAAAGCCACGGCUAACUACGUG